rnacentral:rRNA from 1 species
GACGAACGCUGGCGGCGUGCUUAACACAUGCAAGUCGAACGGAAUGGCCCUGCUUUUGUGGGGUGCUCGAGUGGCGAACGGGUGAGUAACACGUGAGUAACCUGCCCUUGACUUUGGGAUAACUUCAGGAAACUGGGGCUAAUACCGGAUAGGAGCUCCUGCUGCAUGGUGGGGGUUGGAAAGUUUCGGCGGUUGGGGAUGGACUCGCGGCUUAUCAGCUUGUUGGUGGGGUAGUGGCUUACCAAGGCUUUGACGGGUAGCCGGCCUGAGAGGGUGACCGGCCACAUUGGGACUGAGAUACGGCCCAGACUCCUACGGGAGGCAGCAGUGGGGAAUAUUGCGCAAUGGGCAGAAGCCUGAUGCAGCAACGCCGCGUGCGGGAUGACGGCCUUCGGGUUGUAAACCGCUUUCGCCUGUGACGAAGCGUGAGUGACGGUAAUGGGUAAAGAAGCACCGGCUAACUACGUG